ACCCUUAAUCGAUCGAUAUUAUUACGAGGCGCGCUAGCUCGCUCGCUCACUCUGCGCCCCGCGCGUUGUUCUUCCGUUCUCUUCUUUCCCUAUUGUCUUCCCGAUGCCAGUCUGUCAGGCAUCAGACGCGCGCGAGAUCACCGUAACGGCCACGGGAAUUAUUGACCGGCAGCAGAGUGGGUGGCGAUGGUGGUGGUAUUGUUUGUGGUGGUUGUUGCGAGCGUGUCACGUGACACCUCAUAUUGGUCGUAUAUUGGUAUGCUGGAGCGGAGGCGGGCAGAGCUCGGUCUUGUUACACCGUUGAGCUAAUACACGAGAGAAUGAUGAGUCGCUUCGCAUAAUUGAUAAUGUCUCUGUUGAGCAGAAUGAAUAUCGAACGUGCGUUUUGCACGCCACGCUGGCUGCCAUCGCGAGCGAGUCGCGCCGCAACAAAAAAGUCUCCAAAGCGCACACGCGUGGGAAUAAUUAUACGUGGGAGUAAUUAUAGGGCAACUUUGUUAGCUGCGUAUAUCUCUGCGAUAUUCCGCGUGCUUUGCCGCUACGUUUUGCCAUAUUGAUUGACCCUUGUUUGCCGUUGUUAAUACUCGGGAAAAGCCUCGAGGCACACCCGAAUAUUUGCUAAAUCGCACAAUGGCAGAUUAACUGGGUUUUAUUAAUAACUGACCUUUACUCGAUCGAUCUGCGGUAAUUGAAUCUCUCAAAAAUAAAAAAGUUCAAGAGCGUUAUAAAGUAUGUAUAAGAUAAUCUCUUGUGGCAUGAAAAAGAUAAAUAAACAAGAAAUAUGCAAUACAAAGUUCUCACGUUGAGUGUUAGUUACUUCGUAAGUAUUAGUGUUCAUAGUUCAAAAAGGACAUUCUGAGAUGUUGUACAGAGAUCUUCUUUCUAAGCAAAUUUAUAAUUAUUAAAAGAGGAAGUUAAUGCUACUGUAAUCUCUCUUGUGAAUAUGCAUUUACAAUAAAUAUAAUAUUACUGAGAAAUAAUUCUACAAAAAUCGGGAAACAAAGAAAAUGUUACUAAUUUAUAUUAUCAUCAUAAUUUGCAUUAACAAAUAUUAAUCCACUAAUUAAUAUUUUUUAUAAAUUAUAAAUACAAAUUAGUUUGACUACGCUGCAUUUUGUACGCGUUUUUCGAUCAGCAAGCCACGAAGAUUUCCGAUAAAAUAAUACAGAACAUUAUCAAUUACAAAUCCAGUGUCAGCAUCAAAAAAUUAUUUACGAGAGACAAGGAGAGUUUUUAUUUAGAUAAUUUAUAUCAAGGUUUCCUACUUGACCUUUAAUAUUAUAUAAAUAUAUAUAUAUCUUAUCUUUUUAUGAUAAUCUAUGCAUGUUCAAAAUUCAAGGUGCAUAGGUUUUACACAUAUCUACAAUCAUGUCUUGAAAGUUCGCUCAAAACUAGUUCGCCGAUUAUAAUUAAUAAUAUUCAAAAUAAAAAUAU